CGAGCUAUAUCAGACAAAUUUGAUACAUUGCAUCAAAAAAAGCUUAAAGUACUCUUAAAGGUUAAGUGUACAAUUUAAAGAAAGUCAAUUUAUAGUUUGGCGAAGCCAGUUGUGUCUUAUUGCUCUCUGAAAUGAAAGUAAAAAUAGAGGAAAUUUGAUACAUUCUUCAGUAUCACACCAGCCAAAGUGAAAAGGCAGAGCAGGAGGAAACGGGAAUCAAACCGUCGCACAUGGAGUUCAAGAUAAUGACCUCUCCCAUGUGCGUUAUCUAUAGAGCUACGUUGCUCCAUACUUUUGGAUUUCUUUUGAGUAAGUUUUCAGAAAUGGUGUGACUCAUGGGCUUUAAAGUUGUGAAAAAGGCCUAUUUUUGAAAUUAUUUCAUCGUUUAAGUAAAAAAUUAAAUGAAUCUAAAAUAAAAAUUAAAUUCAUUUGAAUAAUAUUUUAAAGUGAUUUUUAUAUGUUAAUAUAUAAUUUAAAGU
rnacentral:lncRNA from 1 species